UGGAGACUGAAGGUGAAAAUCAGAAGUAAGAUUUUUUGCUGGAAGUUAAGGGACUGCUCCUGCACUUCUCAAAGACAUAGCAAAGAUUCCCUGGAAGAAGAGUUUAUAAAACAAGAAAGCCAUAGAGAAGAUGAUGAGAGAGAAAGGGCAGAAGUGGAGCAGAAGAGGGAGAAAACUCACCAGUGAGAUUGCACAGAUGUUCAGCAGGGAAGAGAGCAUUGCCUGGUGGAAGGAAGCAGCUAUUAAAUGGAAAAUAAAUAACUGUCAAGGUAGGUAAUUGCUCUGAUGUUUUGCCAAGUGAGUGGGUGUUCACUGUGGACUAAGGAGAGUGUAAGAGAUUUUGCAGGUGGUCCUAGGAAAUGGAAGAGAACCAAGACAGUGGUCAAGGAACCAGAUGAGCAGAAGGUUUGGGAAUUUACUGUGGUCUGGGUAAACAAACAGAAAGCUAAACGUGUACUUGAGUGUGCUCUGACUUCUUAAGUUCCACAUGUUAAUGUGAUGAUAGGCAACCAAUGAAGCAAGGCAUUCAGAGACACUCUUUUAUGGGAAGAAGUACUUAAGUGUUUUUUGCUAUGUCCUGAGACCAGAACUAAGUGCUAGCUUAGAUUGGAUUGGAGAGUUUCCAGUCCAGUGCUGAUUUGCUUUAUCUGUAAUUAACCUCACUUGCAAAUCUCAAAACCUUGAUUCUGCC
rnacentral:lncRNA from 1 species